UUUGUUUUGGUGUUUUGUUUUUGUUUUUUGUUUUUUUAUGUUUUUUUUUUGUUUUGUGUUUGUUUUGUUGUUUUAUUUUUGUUUUUUGUUUUUUUCGAGACAGGGUUUCUCUGUAUAACCCUGGCUGUCCUGGAACUCACUUUGUAGACCAGGCUGGCCUCGAACUUAGAAAUCCGCCUGCCUCUGCCUCCUGAGUGCUGGGAUUAAAGGCGUGCGCAACCACCCCCGGCCUGAGACCCUGUUUUAACAAACCAGUAUUAAAAGGCAUUAGAAUUGGGUCACUAUGUUCCCACUGUCUUGGAGAUGGGAUGUCUUCAGAGCAUCUAUGGCAUUGGGUAUUUGGCUUUGGCUUCUGUGACUUCCAGUCAGAACUGCACUCGGCCUUAUUUCUGAUGGACUCUUUCUUUCCCUUGCAGUGCUGAGCUUCCUGCCCCUGGUCUCAUCAUGGUUACAGGACCUGAAGGACAUAGAAUUUGAUGCACAUAGAAUGCUGGGAAGAUAGGAAGUUGGUUUUUGUUUUGUUUGUUUGCUUGUUUGUUUGCUUGCUUGCUUGCUUUUUGAGGGGUGAGCUUCAGGGGACUGGCUAGCUUUCAUGCUUUUGUUUUUG
rnacentral:lncRNA from 1 species